AGGGUGCAGGGCGGAUGCCUUGGCACUAGGAGCCGAUGAAGGACGUGAUAAGCUGCGAUAAGCUUCGGGGAGUUGCACGUAAACUUUGAUCCGAAGAUUUCCGAAUGAGGAAACUCACUUAGAGUAAUGUCUAAGUAUCAUUAAGUGAAUACAUAGCUUAAUGAGGGGAACUCAGGGAACUGAAACAUCUAAGUACCUGAAGGAAGAGAAAGAAAUUCGAUUCCGUAAGUAGCGGCGAGCGAACGCGGAUUAGCCCAAACCAAUAAAGUUUUCUUUAUUGGGGUUGCGGACAUAUCAUAACGAAGAGGUAUCGUAAUUGAAGAGGUUUGGAAAGACCCACCACAGAAGGUAAUAGUCCUGUAUGUUAAACGAGAAGACUUCAGAUAUGAUCCAGAGUACCACGGGACACGUGAAACCCUGUGGGAAGCAGGAGGGACCACCCUCCAAGGCUAAAUACUACCUAGUGACCGAUAGCGUAUAGUACCGUGAGGGAAAGGUGAAAAGAACCCCGGGAGGGGAGUGAAAUAGAACCUGAAACCCUGCACUUACAAGCUGUGGAAGCACAUUUCUUGUGUGACCGCGUACUUUUUGUAGAACGGGCCAACGAGUUACGUUAAGUAGCAAGGUUAAGCACUUAAGGUGCGGAGCCGUAGCGAAAGCGAGUUUUAACUGAGCGUUCAGUUACUUGACGUAGACCCGAAACCGGGCGACCUACCCAUGAGCAGGAUGAAGCGAAAGUAAAAUUUCGUGGAGGUCCGAACCCACGAGCGUUGAAAAGCUCGGGGAUGACUUGUGGGUAGCGGUGAAAUUCCAAUCGAGCCCGGAGAUAGCUGGUUCUCCCCGAAAUAGCUUUAGGGCUAGCCUCAAGGUGAGAGAUACGGAGGUAGAGCACUGAAUGUCCUAGGGGGUAUUGCACCUACCGAAGACUAUCAAACUCCGAAUGCCGUCAUCUUAUACUUGGGAGUCAGACUGUGGGUGAUAAGAUUCAUAGUCGAAAGGGCAACAGCCCAGAUCGUCAGCUAAGGUCCCUAAAUGUAAGUUAAGUGGUAAAGGAUGUGGGAUUGCACAGACAACCAGGAUGUUGGCUUAGAAGCAGCCACUCAUUCAAAGAGUGCGUAAUAGCUCACUGGUCGAGUGAUCCUGCGCCGAAGAUUUCCGGGGCUAAAACUUACUACCGAAGCUACGGCAUCAGUAAUGAUGGGUAGGGGAGCUUCCCAUACGGGUUGAAGCAUGACCGUAAGGACAUGUGGACAGUAUGGGAGUGAGAAUGUUGGCAUGAGUAGCGAGAUGUGGGUGAGAAUCCCACAGGCCGUAAACCCAAGGUUUCCAGGGGAAGGUUCGUCCGCCCUGGGUUAGUCGGGACCUAAGCUGAGGCCGAAAGGCGUAGGUGAUGGACAACAGGUUGAUAUUCCUGUACUACCGAUAACCGUUUGAGAGAAGGGAUGACACAGUAGGAUAAGCUAAGCACACUGUUGGUUAUGUGUGCCCAAGCAUUGAGGCAGUCAAAGUAGGCAAAUCCGCUUUGAUAAUGCUGGGAUGUGAUGGGGAGCGAAAUUUAGUAGCGAAGUAGCUGAUUUCACACUGUCAAGAAAAGUCUCUAUCGAGGUUAAAGGUACCCGUACCGCAAACCGACACAGGUGGGUGAGGAGAGUAUCCUAAGGCCAGCGAGAGAACUGUUGUUAAGGAACUCGGCAAAAUGACCCCGUAACUUAGGGAUAAGGGGUGCCACCAUCAGGUGGCCGCAGAGAAUAGGCCCAAGCGACUGUUUACCAAAAACAUAGGUUUCUGCUAAGUCGCAAGACGAUGUAUAGGAGCUGACGCCUGCCCGGUGCUGGAAGGUUAAGGGGAUCUGUUAGAGCAAUCGAAGCAGUGAACUUAAGCCCCAGUAAACGGCGGCCGUAACUAUAACGGUCCUAAGGUAGCGAAAUUCCUUGUCGGGUAAGUUCCGACCCGCACGAAAGGCGUAACGAUUUGGGCACUGUCUCAACAACAGACUCGGUGAAAUUGUAAUUCCGGUGAAGAUGCCGGAUACCUGCGACAGGACGGAAAGACCCCAUGGAGCUUUACUGUAGCUUGACAUUGGGUCUUGGUACUACAUGUACAGGAUAGGUGGGAGGCUUUGAAACCAGGACGCCAGUUUUGGCGGAGCCAUCCUUGGGAUACCACCCUUGUAGUACUGGGACUCUAACCAUAGGCCAUGAAUCUGGUCUUGGGACACUGUCAGGCGGGCAGUUUGACUGGGGCGGUCGCCUCCCAAAAGGUAACGGAGGCGCUCAAAGGUUCUCUCAGUACGGUCGGAAAUCGUACGUAGAGUGUAAAGGCAAAAGAGAGCUUGAUUGCAAGACAUACAGGUCGAGCAAGGAUGAAAAUCGGACUUAGUGAUCCGGUGGUUCUGCGUGGAAGGGCCAUCGCUCAACGGAUAAAAGCUACCCUGGGGAUAACAGGCUUAUCUCCCCCAAGAGUCCACAUCGACGGGGAGGUUUGGCACCUCGAUGUCGGCUCAUCACAUCCUGGGGCUGUAGUAGGUCCCAAGGGUUGGGCUGUUCGCCCAUUAAAGUGGUACGCGAGCUGGGUUCAGAACGUCGUGAGACAGUUCGGUCCCUAUCCGUCGCAGGCGUAGGAAAUUUGAGAAGACCUGUCCUUAGUACGAGAGGACCGGGAUGGACGUACCUCUGGUGUACCAGUUGUCCUGCCAAGGGCAUGGCUGGGUAGCUAUGUACGGAAUGGAUAAGCGCUGAAAGCAUCUAAGCGCGAAGCCAACUUCAAGAUAAGAUUUCCCACCGCAAGGGUAAGACCCCAGAAAGACUAUCUGGUUGA
rnacentral:rRNA from 1 species